rnacentral:rRNA from 1 species
GUCAAAUGUUCUUCGUGAACAUGGCGGACUGCUCAGUAACACGUGGAUAACCUGCCCUUAGGAUUGGCAUAACACCGGGAAACUGGUGAUAAUACCGAAUAGACCAUUUAUGCUGGAAUGCUUUUUGGUUCAAAGGCUUCGGCUGCCUAAGGAUGGAUCUGCGGCCUAUCAGGUAGUAGUGGGUGUAAUGUACCUACUAGCCUACGACGGGUACGGGUUGUGAGAGCAAGAGCCCGGAGAUGGAUUCUGAGACAUGAAUCCAGGCCCUACGGGGCGCAGCAGGCGCGAAAACUUUACAAUGCGGGAAACCGCGAUAAGGGGACACUGAGUGCCAGCAUAUUAUGUUGGCUGUCCACAUGUAUAAAAAUCAUGUGUUAGCAAGGGCCGGGCAAGACCGGUGCCAGCCGCCGCGGUAACACCGGCGGCCCGAGUGGUGAUCACUUUUAUUGGGUCUAAAGGGUCCGUAGCCGGUUUAAUCAGUCUUCUGGGAAAUCUGACAGCUCAACUGUUAGGCUUUCAGGGGAUACUGUUAGACUUGGGACCGGGAGAGGUAAGAGGUACUACAGGGGUAGGAGUGAAAUCUUGUAAUCCCUGUGGGAC